AUUCCAGCUCCAAUAGCGUAUAUUUAAGUUGUUGCAGUUAAAAAGCUCGUAGUUGGAUCUUGGGUCGUAAGGGUCGGUCCGCCUACUCGGUGUGCACCUGCCCUUCCGUCCCUUUUGUCGGCGGCGUGCUCCUGGCCUUAAUUGGCUGGGUCGCGGUUCCGGCGCUGUUACUUUGAAAAAAUUAGAGUGCUCAAAGCAAGCUUAUGCUCUGAAUACAUUAGCAUGGAAUAACGUGAUAGGAGUCUGGUCCUAUUGUGUUGGCCUUCGGGACCGGAGUAAUGAUUAAUAGGGACUGUCGGGGGCAUUCGUAUUUCAUUGUCAGAGGUGAAAUUCUUGGAUUUAUGAAAGACGAACUACUGCGAAAGCAUUCAUCAAGGAUGUUUUCAUCG
rnacentral:rRNA from 1 species